rnacentral:lncRNA from 1 species
GUAUUUGCAGCUCGGUGGCUUUGCGGGGCAGCCUGGGGCCACGGAGGACGCCGGGGGACGGAGCGGGGAGGGCGGCCAGACUUGAUCCAGGGAUGUGAGGAAUUUUAAAUUGGAACAAGAGCAAGAAAAAAACAAAAUCUUGUCAGAAGCACUGGAGACGCUGGCCACUGAACAUCAUGAAUUAGAGCAGUCUCUGGUGAAAGGCUCUCCACCCGCCAGCAUCCUUAGCGAGGACGAGUUCUAUGAUGCGCUGUCAGAUUCCGAGUCCGAAAGGUCCCUGAGUAGAUUGGAAGCAGUGACAGCACGCUCCUUUGAAGAGGAAGGAGAGCAUUUGGGCAGUAGAAAACACAGAAUGUCCGAAGAAAAAGACUGUGGUGGCGGAGAUGCUCUCUCCAAUGGCAUCAAGAAACACAGAACAAGUUUGCCUUCUCCUAUGUUUUCCAGAAAUGACUUCAGUAUCUGGAGCAUCCUCAGAAAAUGUAUUGGAAUGGUAAAUUAAUGGUUUUGUCAUAUGAUAUUAAGCAGAUAUGUUUAAUCGCAUAUUCUUUAGAAAGGAACCUAAAAGUUUGCAUUAAAGUGG